rnacentral:rRNA from 1 species
AUACAGAGGGUGCGAGCGUUAAUCGGAAUUACUGGGCGUAAAGCGCGCGUAGGCGGUUACUUAAGUCAGAUGUGAAAUCCCCGGGCUCAACCUGGGAACUGCAUCUGAUACUGGGUAGCUAGAGUUUAGGAGAGGGAAGUAGAAUUUCAGGUGUAGCGGUGAAAUGCAUAGAGAUCUGAAGGAAUACCAGUGGCGAAGGCGGCUUCCUGGCUUAAAACUGACGCUGAGGUACGAAAGCGUGGGUAGCAAACAGGAUUAGAAACCCCAGUAGUCC